CUUAUUUAUUUCUCAGGGUUAUCCUCAUGAUCAGGAAUAUGGACAUUCUUUCUUGUGUUGUUGUUUUCCACGUCUUAACUGGAAUUUAUGGAAAAGUCGCAAAUACAGUAAAUUGGCAUUGCAAAGGAUAUAAUGGCGUCGACGAGUUGUUUUUAUGCAUUCAUAGAAUCUUUUACAACGAAAAAGGGUGCAUGGAAAAAAUAAAGAUGGUGAUUCAAACCGCCAUGCAUAAGAAUAUAACUAAGGGCUGUUUGGUGGAGCAGUCAAAACUUCCAUGUACAAAAUGCGCUGGAGACAACAGCUGCACGAUUAAGGAUUGCAGAGAAUUAUUGUCUGUUUUCAU